UACGUAGGGUGCGAGCGUUGCCCGGAUUUAUUGGGCGUAAAGGGCUCGUAGGCGGUCUGUCACGUCGGGAGUGAAAACUCAGGGCUUAACCCUGAGCCUGCUUCCGAUACGGGCAGACUAGAGGUAUGCAGGGGAGAACGGAAUUCCUGGUGUAGCGGUGAAAUGCGCAGAUAUCAGGAGGAACACCGGUGGCGAAGGCGGUUCUCUGGGCAUUACCUGACGCUGAGGAGCGAAAGUGUGGGGAGCGAACAGG
rnacentral:rRNA from 1 species